GCAUCCUGUACUGAGCUGCCCCGAGGCCCUUCAUGCUGCCCAGCUCGGGGCAGCUCAGUACAGGAUAC
ensembl:miRNA MIR486-1 microRNA 486-1